AGCAGCCGCGGUAAUUCCAGCUCCAAUAGCGUAUACUAAAGUUGUUGCAGUUAAAAAGCUCGUAGUUGAAUUUCGGGGUUAGUAGGUCGGUCGUGCCACAGGUAUGUACUGGUCUCACUGAUUCCUCCUUCCUGAUGAGCCGUAAUGCCAUUAAUUUGGUGUUGCGGGGAAACUGGACUGUUACUUUGAAAAAUUAGAGUGUUUAAAGCAGGCUAACGCUUGAAUACAUUAGCAUGGAAUAAUGGAAUAGGACGUUCGAUCCUAUUUUGUUGGUUUCUAGGAUUGACGUAAUGAUUAAUAGGGAUAGUUGGGGGGCAUUAGUGUUCAAUUGUCAGAGGUGAAAUUCUUGGAUUUAUUGAAGACUAACUACUGCGAAGC
rnacentral:rRNA from 1 species